ACCCGAAACUCUCGCUCGGAUUGGACCGUUCGUUCUUGGUUUGCAUCGCAGUAUGUAUAUCCAGGCAGGGAGC